GCUGGCGGCGUGCCUAAUACAUGCAAGUAGGACGUACAGUUUAUACCGUAGCUUGCUACACCAUAGACUGUGAGUUGCGAACGGGUGAGUAACGCGUAGGUAACCUGCCUAUUAGAGGGGGAUAACUAUUGGAAACGAUAGCUAAUACCGCAUAGCAGUAUGUAACACAUGUUAGAUGCUUGAAAGAUGCAAUUGCAUCGCUAGUAGAUGGACCUGCGUUGUAUUAGCUAGUAGGUAGGGUAAAGGCCUACCUAGGCAACGAUACAUAGCCGACCUGAGAGGGUGAUCGGCCACACUGGGACUGAGACACGGCCCAGACUCCUACGGGAGGCAGCAGUAGGGAAUCUUCGGCAAUGGGGGGAACCCUGACCGAGCAACGCCGCGUGAGUGAAGAAGGUUUUCGGAUCGUAAAGCUCUGUUGUUAAGGAAGAACGAGUGUGAGAAUGGAAAGUUCAUGCUGUGACGGUACUUAACCAGAAAGGGACGGCUAACUACGUGCCAGCAGCCGCGGUAAUACGUAGGUCCCGAGCGUUGUCCGGAUUUAUUGGGCGUAAAGCGAGCGCAGGCGGUUAGAAAAGUCUGAAGUUAAAGGCUGUGGCUUAACCAUAGUACGCUUUGGAAACUGUUUAACUUGAGUGCAGAAGGGGAGAGUGGAAUUCCAUGUGUAGCGGUGAAAUGCGUAGAUAUAUGGAGGAACACCGGUGGCGAAAGCGGCUCUCUGGUCUGUAACUGACGCUGAGGCUCGAAAGCGUGGGGAGCGAACAGGAUUAGAUACCCUGGUGGUCCACGCCGUAAACGAUGAAUGCUAGGUGUUAGGUCCUUUUCCGGGACUUAGUGCGGCAGUUAAGUCAUUAAGCACUUCCGCCUGGGGGGUAUGACCGCAAGGUUGAAACUCAAAGGAAUUGACGGGGGGCCCGCACAAGCGGUGGAGCAUGUGGUUUAAUUAGAAGCAACGAGAAGAACCUUACCAGGUCUUGACAUCCCGGAUGCUAUUUCUAGAGAUAGGAAGUUUCUUCGGGAACAUCGGUGACAGGUGGUGCAUGGUUGUCGUCAGCUCGUGUCGUGAGAUGUUGGGUUAAGUCCCGCAACGAGCGCAACCCUUAUUGUUAGUUGCCAUCAUUGAGUUGGGCACUCUAGCGAGACUGCCGGUAAUAAACCGGAGGAAGGUGGGGAUGACGUCAAAUCAUCAUGCCCCUUAUGACUUGGGCUACACACGUGCUACAAUGGCUGGUACAACGAGUCGCAAGCCGGUGACGGCAAGCUAAUCUCUGAAAGCCAGUCUCAGUUCGGAUUGUAGGAUGCAACUCGCCUACAUGAAGUCGGAAUCGUUAGUAAUCGCGGAUCAGCACGCCGCGGUGAAUACGUUCCCGGGCUUUGUACACACCGCCCGUCACACCACGAGAGUUUGUAACACCCGAAGUCGAUGAGGUAACCGUAAGGAUCCAGCCGCCUAAGGUGGGAUAGAUGA
rnacentral:rRNA from 1 species